rnacentral:misc_RNA from 1 species
UCCGGUUUGGCACCGGCAGUCCUCCCAGAGUCCUCGGCUUUACCCGGUAGCAACUGGGAGCGGGGGUUGCGCUCGUUGCGGGACUUAACCCAACAUCUCACGACACGAGCUGACGACAGCCAUGCGGCACCUGUGCGCCGGUUCUCUUUCGAGCACUCCCAGAUCUCUCCAGGAUUCCGACCAUGUCAAGGGUAGGUAAGGUUUUUCGCGUUGCAUCGAAUUAAUCCACAUCAUCCACCGCUUGUGCGGGUCCCCGUCAACUCCUUUGAGUUUUAAUCUUGCGACCGUACUCCCCAGGCGGUCAACUUCACGCGUUAGCUGCGUUACCAAGUCAAUUAAGACCCGACAACUAGUUGACAUCGUUUAGGGCGUGGACUAC